rnacentral:rRNA from 1 species
AUCCACAGCCAUUUCACCCUGCAGCCCAAGACAGCAGGGCUGAGUCUGGUCAGUACCUGGAUGGGAGACCUCAUAGGAAAAUCUAGGUUGCUAUUGGAA